rnacentral:rRNA from 1 species
GUGGGGAAUAUUGGGCAAUGGGGGAAACCCUGACCCAGCAACGCCGCGUGAAGGAAGACGGUUUUCGGAUUGUAAACUUCUUUUAUCGGGGACGAAAAAAAUGACGGUACCCGAAGAAAAAGCCACGGCUAACUACGUGCCAGCAGCCGCGGUAAUACGUAGGUGGCAAGCGUUGUCCGGAUUUACUGGGUGUAAAGGGCGUGUAGGCGGGACUGCAAGUCAGAUGUGAAAUACCAAGGCUUAACUUUGGGGCUGCAUUUGAAACUGUAGUUCUUGAGUGAUGGAGAGGCAGGCGGAAUUCCUAGUGUAGCGGUGAAAUGCGUAGAUAUUAGGAGGAACACCAGUGGCGAAGGCGGCCUGCUGGACAUUAACUGACGCUGAGGCGCGAAAGCGUGGGGAGCAAACAGGAUUAGAAACCCGGGUAGUCC